rnacentral:rRNA from 1 species
AGUGAACGCUGGCGGUAGGCCUAACACAUGCAAGUCGAACGGCAGCACGGUAAGAGCUUGCUCUUACGGGUGGCGAGUGGAGGACGGGUGAGGAAUACAUCGGAAUCUACUUUUUCGUGGGGGAUAACGUAGGGAAACUUACGCUAAUACCGCAUACGACCUACGGGUGAAAGCAGGGGAUCUUCGGACCUUGCGCGAUUGAAUGAGCCGAUGUCGAAUUAGCUAGUUGGCGGGGUAAAGGCCCACCAAGGCGACGAUCCGUGGCUGGUCUGAGAGGAUGAUCAGCCACACUGGAACUGGAACACGGUCCAGACUCCUACGGGAGGCAGCAGUGGGGAAUAUUGGACAAUGGGCGCAAGCCUGAUCCAGCCAUACCGCGUGGGUGAAGAAGGCCUUCGGGUUGUAAAGCCCUUUUGUUGGGAAAGAAAAGCAGCAGGUUAAUACCCCGCUGUUCUGACGGUACCCAAAGAAUAAGCACCGGCUAACUUCGUG